rnacentral:rRNA from 1 species
CAUGCAAGUCGAACGGGGUAGCAAUACCUAGUGGCAGACGGGUGAGUAACAUGUGGGUACCUUCCCUUUGGUGAGGAAUAACACGAGGAAACUUGUGCUAAUACCUCAUAAGUCUUUACGGAGAAAGCUUUAUGCGCCAAUGGAUGGGCCCGCACUUGAUUAGUUUGUUGGUGGGGUAAUGGCCUACCAAGACUUUGAUCAAUAGCUGAUUUGAGAGGAUGAUCAGCCACAUUGGGACUGAGACACGGCCCAAACUCCUACGGGAGGCAGCAGUAGGGAAUCUUGCACAAUGGAGGAAACUCUGAUGCAGCGAUGCCGCGUGAGUGAAGAAGGCCCUUAGGUCGUAAAGCUCUUUCGUCGGGGAAGAAAAUGACUGUACCCGAAUAAGAAGGUCCGGCUAACUUCGUGCCAGCAGCCGCGGUAAUACGAAGGGACCUAGCGUAGUUCGGAAUUACUGGGCUUAAAGAGUUCGUAGGUGGUCAAAAAAGUUGGUGGUGAAAUCCCAGAGCUUAACUCUGGAACUGCCACCAAAACUUUUUAGCUAGAGUAUGAUAGAGGAAAGCAGAAUUUCUAGUGUAGAGGUGAAAUUCGUAGAUAUUA